GAUGAACGCUGGCGGCGUGCCUAAUACAUGCAAGUCGAACGCACAGCGAAAGGUGCUUGCACCUUUCAAGUGAGUGGCGAACGGGUGAGUAACACGUGGAUAACCUACCUCAAGGUUGGGGAUAACAUUUGGAAACAGAUGCUAAUACCGAAUAAAACUUAGUAUCGCAUGAUACCAGGUUAAAAGGCGCUACGGCGUCACCUAGAGAUGGAUCCGCGGUGCAUUAGUUAGUUGGUGGGUAAAGGCUUACCAAGACAAUGAUGCAUAGCCGAGUUGAGAGACUGAUCGGCCACAUUGGGACUGAGACACGGCCCAAACUCCACGGGAGGCUGCAGUAGGAAUCUUCCACAAUGGGCGAAAGCCUGAUGGAGCAACGCCGCGUGUGUGAUGAAGGCUUUCGGGGUCGUAAAGCACUGUCGUAUGGGAAGAACAGCUAGAGUAGGGAAUGACUUUAGUUGACGGUACCAUACCAGAAAGGGCGGACUAAAUACGUGCCAGCA
rnacentral:rRNA from 1 species